AUAUUGCACAAUGGGGGGAACCCUGAUGCAGCGACGCCGCGUGAGCGAUGAAGUAUUUCGGUAUGUAAAGCUCUAUCAGCAGGGAAGAAAAAAGACAGUACCUGUAGAAUAAGCUCCGGCUAACUACGUGCCAGCAGCCGCGGUAAUACGUAGGGAGCAAGCGUUAUCCGGAAUUAUUGGGUGUAAAGGGUGCGUAGACGGGACAGCAAGUUAGUUGUGAAAGCCCUCGGCUUAACUGAGGAACUGCAACUAAAACUAUUGUUCUUGAGUGCAGGAGAGGAAAGCGGAAUUCCUAGUGUAGCGGUGAAAUGCGUAGAUAUUAGGAGGAACACCAGUGGCGAAGGCGGCUUUCUGGACUGUAACUGACGUUGAGGCACGAAAGUGUGGGGAGCAAACAGG
rnacentral:rRNA from 1 species